rnacentral:rRNA from 1 species
GACGAACGCUGGCGGCGUGCUUAACACAUGCAAGUCGAGCGGUAAGGCCCUUUCGGGGGUACACGAGCGGCGAACGGGUGAGUAACACGUGGGUGACCUGCCCUUAGCUCUGGGAUAAGCCUGGGAAACUGGGUCUAAUACCGGAUAUGACUCCAUGACGCAUGUUGUGGGGUGGAAAGCCUUGUGCGGCUAGGGAUGGGCCCGCGGCCUAUCAGCUUGUUGGUGGGGUGAUGGCCUACAAGGCGACGACGGGUAGCCGGCCUGAGAGGGCGACCGGCCACACUGGGACUGAGACACGGCCCAGACUCCUACGGGAGGCAGCAGUGGGGAAUCUUGCGCAAUGGGCGAAAGCCUGACGCAGCGACGCCGCGUGAGGGAUGACGGCCUGG